AUUGAACGCUAGCGGGAUGCCUUACACAUGCAAGUCGAACGGAGUGGCGAACGGGUGAGUAAUGUAACGGAACGUUCCCAGUCGCGGGGGAUAACUACGCGAAAGCGUAGCUAAUACCGCAUACUAUUUGAGCGGCCGAUAUCGGAUUAGCUAGGUGGUGGGGUAACGGCUCACCAAGGCGACGAUCCGUAGCUGGUUUGAGAGGACGACCAGCAAAACUUGGAAGGAGAAACGGCCCAGACUCCUACGGGAGGCAGCAGGGGGGAAUUUUGGACAAUGGGGGAAACCCUGAUCCAGCCAUCCCGCGUGUGCGAUGAAGGCCUUCGGGUUGUAAAGUACUUUUGGCAGGAAAGCGGUACCUGCAGAAUAAGCACCGGCUAACUACGUGCCAGCAGCCGCGGUAAUAC
rnacentral:rRNA from 1 species